ACAUGGGUCCAUUGAAAUAAAAAACUAUGCAACGUAUUUGUAAUUCCAAUCAUGCCCACAAGGUGUUGUGCUACAGGGUGUAGAACGGGCUAUGACACCGAGCCGUGUUACGAUCCAUCUGUGGCCAAACUAAGAGAGAAACCCUGGACUUGAUACCAUCUGGCUGAGAUCCAUUCCAAGAGAAACAGAUCCGAAGAAGACGGAUCAGACACCAUCCAAAAGUACAAAGCUAUGUUCACUGCAUUUCAACGACUUUCAGACCCUUGGCAAGGCUCUAAAGAAGAGGUACCUCAAAGCAGAUGUAGUACCAUCCCUAUGGCCAAACUGUCCCAACUACCUCUCCACUCCUAAAGCGUCAUGAAGGCCAACUCAAGCUGCGUCCACGUCACGUAGGGCUCAACAGUUCAAAAAAAUUAGUUCUGUGGAAGAACUUGUUGACAAAUUGGCCAAGUAGACACUCCCAUCAUACUUCAUCCUCAUCACAAAACCCUUUUGAAGCUAUCCCAUGAUGAUAAAUUAGGCCCCCAAGUAGUAGCUACUAUCAAGUUUGAGACAGAUAUGUAAUUCAAAAUGUACCUCUCUGGUGUGUUGAUUGACAAAAAGGCAGUGUCAUACAUCAUCUCAGAAGGCAAGGUCAACACUGUAAUUCAAGCUAUCAAUUU
rnacentral:lncRNA from 1 species